rnacentral:rRNA from 1 species
GCUAAUAUGGAGGGCACCCUGAUCCAGCCAUGCCGCGUGAGUGAUGAAGGCCCUAGGGUUGUAAAGCUCUUUUGUGCGGGAAGAUAAUGACGGUACCGCAAGAAUAAGCCCCGGCUAAUUUCGUGCCAGCAGCCGCGGUAAUGAUUUGGGCCGUGUCUCAGUCCAUAAGUGGCUCAUCAUCCUCUCAGACCAGCUUUUCUUGAGAGGCGCGUUGGUGAGCCAUUACCUCACCAACUAGGGGGGGGGGGGGGGGGGGGCGGUUCUUUCGGCGAUAAAUCUUUCCCCGUAAGGGCUUUAUCCGGUAUUAGCUGAAGUUUCCCUUCGUUG